rnacentral:lncRNA from 1 species
AAUGGCAGGAAUAUGGUCCUUAUGGCUGCACCGCAAUGAAGUUAUCUUCAAUAACGGCCAGCCAUGGGCUAACAAGGUUUUUUUUUUUUAUUAAUUUUGUUUCGGUCGUGGAGCUGGAUUAAAGUUAAGGUUAAUAAAGCUUCCUUCUCCUUUUACGAAUGGCAGAAUCAACCUCUAUUAUGUCUUAGAGCAGCAUCCUAUAUCUUAUUCACGUUGUCUGAUUUCUUUUGGGGUACUUAGGAGGGUAAUCUAUAGCUCUUUUCUCAUAAUGUUGGUGUUGGUUGUUUUUAUCUGGUUUAGUUGUACUGCUAUGGCUUGGGUGUACACUCCUUGUGUUACCAAGCUAGUCAUUUCUAUGUUUUUAUGAUUUAUAAUAUGAG